AGUGAACGCUGGCGGCAGGCCUAACACAUGCAAGUCGAGCGGCAGCGGGUCCCCGCGAGGGGAUGCCGGCGAGCGGCGGACGGGUGAGGAACACAUCGGAAUCUGCCUGGUUGUGGGGGAUAACGUAGGGAAACUUACGCUAAUACCGCAUGAGACCCUGAGUCGACGGACUGGGGGUGAAAGUGAGGGACCUUCGGGCCUCACGCGACCAGAUGAGCCGAUGUCGGAUUAGCUAGUUGGCGGGGUAACGGCCCGCCAAGGCGACGAUCCGUAGCUGGUCUGAGAGGAUGAUCAGCCACACUGGGACUGAGACACGGCCCAGACUCCUACGGGAGGCAGCAGUGGGGAAUCUUGGACAAUGGGCGCAAGCCUGAUCCAGCCAUGCCGCGUGGGUGAAGAAGGCC
rnacentral:rRNA from 1 species